rnacentral:hammerhead_ribozyme from 1 species
AUUCAUUCGACGAGUCUCAAAUAAGACGAAACGCUCGUCCUAGAU